rnacentral:rRNA from 1 species
GGGRGGAUKCMYCAUUCUGCCACCSAAUACAUUAGCAUGGGAUAAUGGAAUAGGACCCUGUCACCUAUUUUCAGUUGGUUUUGGCAGCGCGAGGACUAGGGUAAUGAUUAAUAGGGAUAGUUGGGGGCAUUAAUAUUUAAUUGUCAGAGGUGAAAUUCUUGGAUUUAUGAAAGAUUAACUUCUGCGAAAGCAUCUGCCAAGGAUGUUUUCAUUAAUCAAGAACGAAAGUUAGGGGAUCGAAGACGAUCAGAUACCGUCGUAGUCUUAACCAUAAACGAUGCCGACCAGCGAUUAGGAGACGUUGAAUACAAAACACCACCAUCGGCGCGGUCGUCCUUGGCGUUCGUGUUCACGCACGAGCGCGAGGGCGGYUUAGCCCGRUGGCACCGGUGAAUGACUCCCCUAGCAGCUUGUGARAWGKGUCUCACAAGKUGCUAGGGGAGUCACGCUCCGGGRAAAGUGUGUGGCCCCUCCCACAGGUGGKRGGGGAGGUCKUUCUCGGGGAAAAAUUUGGGGCCCCUUUCAAGGGGUGUGGGGGGGGUUUCUUG